rnacentral:rRNA from 1 species
CUUGGGUUCCUCGAUUAGUUGCGAACGAAAGAGAGAGAUUCUCAGCUUGGUAUUCAAAGGUCACUGCCUUUGACAUGAAAUCUCUGGUAGUGUGCCAAAGGAUGAAGGGUGGAGAGUGGGUACUGUCUUGAAAGAGGGGUGUGCAAGUGUUAACAAGGGUGACAAACCUUUGACACUUGAUGUGUCUUCCUGCACGGCACCUUGUCCAGACUCAUGCUCCUUGAAAGUGGAGUGCAAAGUGGGUGGUAAAUCUCACUCAAAGCCAGAUACAGCACUGGGGCCGAUAGUACAAAAGUACCGUGAGGGAAGUGUGAAAAGGACUUUGGAAAGAGAAUUAAAUGAGCCUGAAUUUGCUGAUCUGCAAGCACACAGGGUGGGAGAGAUUGGAGAGAUUUCCACAUGUGACUGCGAUUAUAGUUGCCCUCUGAGCAAUGGUUSUGUGGCCCAAACUGGCAUGACAUGUGUGUAUCUAUCCUUGGGUGUCGGACAGAGACAGCUGCAGUCAAUGGCAUCUGGUGGCGGUGGGCCACCUUUGAAUGUGUGGCUGUUGUUGCCAAAUUUCUGCACGUGUGUGGGGUGGGCGGCUUGUACGUUCACUAUGUUGGUGUCAAAAACAGGUGCGGGGAGUGCCUAUGCCUCACCGUGCAUGAAGGCAAAUCCUGCCCGGCAGCACAGCCACUGACAACCUCCGUCUGUGUGACCCGUCUUGAAACACGGACCAAGGAGUCUAGCAACUCUGCAAGGUGUGUGUUUGUGUGUAGUACAACUCUGUGCCAAUGAAAGUGGAGUCCCAGACCUGUGCAUGAGUGUUCCACCAAUCCAGAGGUUGAGGUUUGAGUCUGAGCAUGGUUGCUAGGACCCGAAAGAUGGUGAACUAUGCCUGGCAAGGGUCAAGGCAGGGGAAACUCUGAUGGAGGCUUGCAGCGUUACUGACGUGCAAAUCGUUCGUCACACUUGGGUA